CUUGUCGUUUCACGAUAUAAAUAUAAAGAAUAGAAAAAUAUGGGAGUAAUAUUUUGGCCCAAAAAUCAAGGCCACAGUCAACUUAUUGCUGCAAGACUUGUGUAAAGAUAAUUGUUAUAUUUAACUAAUUAUCUUUCGGUCCAUUUUUCUGAACAAGUUGUCCACUGUUGUGAAUCUAAUUAUGAAUGUCAGAUUCGUUUUCUCCACAAUUUGUCUACUGUAUAAAAAAUAUGCUCUUCAACAUGAUUUCUUAAUUUAUUUGGAUUGACCAGGUGGUUUGAAUAUUCUUGUAGUAAAUGUUCAAUGGAUGUGUAUGUAUUUGUGUUUGUAUUUUCCAAAUGAGUUUUUCAAAUCAUGUUGGAGCAUUUUAGGAUACAAAGCAAAUUUAGGGGCAUUGGCUUUAUAUCUUGCAGGAGAGCUCAUUCAGAUGAUUAUAGGGUUCCUCUUUCCAACUUCUAUUUGAUUGAUGCUAUUUAUAUCACACUGCAAUGUAACAAAAAUUGAGAUGAUUUUAUUGUUAAAUUUCAAAGGUUCUAACUCAUUGUAAAUUUCUUUAGUAUUUCAGAUAGUGACCCUGUAUUUUGCCAUUUAACAUUUUCCUGCACAAGUCUGAUUCAAAACCUUCGGAAUACAAUGAUUACGCUCUGAAUACCAAAGUCAGGCAAUGAGAUCGUGAAGGAAAAGCAGAAAGUGAUGAUUGAAAGACGCAUGGGAGAGAUGUAGAUCCGCUACCAUUUUUUUAUUAUGGAACACACCAGAGCUUGAUUUAUGUGGUUCCUCAUCUUAUUUGUUUCCCCAUUUACAAUAACUAUGUUUCAAUCCAUAUCUGUCAGUUCUUUUUUUUCUUUUUCUUUUUUUUUUGUCCAUCUUAUUGGUUGCUUUAGUCUUCCAUCUCAAUUCGAAUAUGACGUAGUUGUAAUGGUUUUGUUUGAAAUUAAAAUGGAGGUAAUGGGAAAUGGAAAACAUGAUGCUUUGGAAGGGAAUGAGGAAACUAAAGAAAUAGAAGAACUCGUGAGCCUGGUUAUUGUUGAGACUAGCAUUGAUAUCAAUUCAGAGUGCACCUGAUGCAAAAAACAAUGUUGCACAAGCCUAAGCAACUCGAAAUGAAAGCAGAGGAAUGGACAAUGAUGUACAGUCACGUUUGGACAUGUUGAAGAGAAUGUAGCUAUUUACAUCUUGUAAUUUUGUUGGUUCACUAACUCCAUUGUGAAUGCUCUAUUGUGUCAUUUGCUAUGUAACACGUACAAAAUAACCCCAAAUUUUUUUACUUGGAUUCAAACCAUGUACUGUUAUCUCGAAUUA